rnacentral:rRNA from 1 species
GUGAGGAAUUUUCCGCAAUGGGCGCAAGCCUGAUCCAGCCAUGCCGCGUGAGUGAUGAAGGCCUUAGGGUUGUAAAGCUCUUUCAGUGGGGACGAUAAUGACGGUACCCACAGAAGAAGCCCCGGCUAACUUCGUGCCAGCAGCCGCGGUAAUACGAAGGGGGCUAGCGUUGUUCGGAUUUACUGGGCGUAAAGCGCACGUAGGCGGAUCGUUAAGUCGGGGGUGAAAUCCUGGAGCUGAACUCCAGAACUGCCUUCGAUAAUGGCGAGCUUGAGUCCGGAAGAGGUGAGUGGAACUCCUAGUGUAGAGGUGGAAUUCGGAGAUAUUAGGAAGAACACCAGUGGCGAAGGCGGCUCACUGGUCCGGUACUGACGCUGAGGUGCGGAAGCGUGGGGAGCAAACAGGAUUAGAUACCCCUGUAGUCC